UACGUAGGGUGCAAGCGUUAAUCGGAAUUACUGGGCGUAAAGCGUGCGCAGGCGGUUUUGUAAGUCUGUCGUGAAAGCCCCGGGCUCAACCUGGGAAUUGCGAUGGAGACUGCAAGGCUAGAGUGUGUCAGAGGGGGGUAGAAUUCCACGUGUAGCAGUGAAAUGCGUAGAUAUGUGGAGGAACACCGAUGGCGAAGCAGCCCCUGGGAUAACACUGGACGCUCAUGCACGAAAGCGUGGGGAGCAAACAGG
rnacentral:rRNA from 1 species